GACAGAGGGUGCGAACGUUGCUCGGAAUUACUGGGCGUAAAGCGUGUGUAGGCGGCCACGCAAGUCGGGUGUGAAAGCCCUCGGCUUAACCGAGGAAGUGCAUUCGAAACUACUGGACUUGAAUACUGGAGAGGAUCGCGGAAUUCCCGGUGUAGAGGUGAAAUUCGUAGAUAUCGGGAGGAACACCAGUGGCGAAGGCGGCGAUCUGGACAGAUAUUGACGCUGAUGUGCGAAAGCGUGGGGAGCAAACAGG
rnacentral:rRNA from 1 species